CCCUUAGACGUUCUGGGCCGCACGCGCGCUACACUGACCAGUGCAACAAGCAUCCGUCCUUGGCCGACAGGCUCGGGCAAUCUUUGAACGCUGGUCGUGAUGGGGAUAGACUUUUGCAAUUUUUGGUCUUCAACGAGGAAUUCCUAGUAAACGCAAGUCAUCAACUUGCAUUGAUUACGUCCCUGCCCUUUGUACACACCGCCCGUCGCACCUACCGAUCGAAGGUAAUGAUGAGCCCUCAGGAUUGUGGCCUCGUCGCGUCAGCGUCUUGGCUGCGAGAAUCUGUGCAAAUCCCUACCUUUAGAGGAAGGUGAAGUCGUANCA
rnacentral:rRNA from 1 species